rnacentral:rRNA from 1 species
GAUGAACGCUGGCGGCGUGCCUAAUACAUGCAAGUCGAGCGAACGGACGAGAAGCUUGCUUCUCUGAUGUUAGCGGCGGACGGGUGAGUAACACGUGGAUAACCUACCUAUAAGACUGGGAUAACUUCGGGAAACCGUAGCUAAUACCGGAUAAUAUUUUGAACCGCAUGGUUCAAAAGUGAAAGACGGUCUUGCUGUCACUUAUAGAUGGAUCCGCGCUGCAUUAGCUAGUUGGUAAGGUAACGGCUUACCAAGGCAACGAUGCAUAGCCGACCUGCGAGGGUAGUCGGCCACACUGGAGCUGAGACACGGUCCAGACUCCUACGAGAGGCAGCAGUAGGGAAUCUUCCGCAAUGGGCGAAAGCCUGACGGAGCAACGCCGCGUGAGUGAUGAAGGUCUUCGGAUCGUAAGACUCUGUUAUUAGGGAAGAACAUAUGUGUAAGUAACUGUGCACAUCUUGACGGUACCUAAUCAGAAAGCCACGGCUAACUACGUG